CAGUAGCCGCGGGAAUACGUAGGGUGCAAGCGUUAAUCGGAAUUACUGGGCGUAAAGCGUGCGCAGGCGGUUUGUUAAGACAGAUGUGAAAUCCCCGGGCUCAACCUGGGAACUGCAUUUGUGACUGGCAAGCUAGAGUGUGGCAGAGGGGGGUAGAAUUCCGAGUGUAGCAGUGAAAUGCGUAGAGAUUCGGAGGAAUACCGAUGGCGAAGGCAGCCCCCUGGUAUAGAACCGACGCUGAGUCACGAAAGCGUGGGUAGCAAACAGGAUUAGAUACCCCCGUAGUCCCUGUCUCUUAUAC
rnacentral:rRNA from 1 species